rnacentral:lncRNA from 1 species
GCUGGGGAGCUGGGCCGCAGGGGAGGGGUGGGGCCGGGACCUGCACCCGAGCUGGAGCCUGGAGGCCGGGCCGGACCCUGGAAGAGGUGGGCUGGUGCCCGACCUGCCCGGACGCUGGAGCCCUGGUGCCCUUGCAGCAAGUGUGUCCCCUGGGAUGCGAUUGUCUGCUCUCUGCCCAGCUGUCCCAGCGGACAUGAGUGGGGGCCAGGGGCAGCCUCAACAUGACCCAGCUCAAGGCGCAGUGUACACAGGCAGCCUUGGAGGAUGCACAUGAGCUCCAGCUGCUCCGACUGAGCUGCCCUUUGGACGACGCUAAGCUCCCGGGCAGCAGGGUUGGGCCUGCGCACCUCGGGGCUCGCCGAGCCCGACCAGGCAUCUGGCACAGCAACAGACAUCAGCGGGUCGCCGCCCAACCCGGCCCUGCCUGUCUCCAGCCUCUUCCCCCACCCACUCCAACUCACUCUGGAAGCUCCCUCCUGCCCCCGAGCCUUGACGCACGCUGUUCUCUGCGGGGACACCUGGUCCCAGCCCCACCCCCUGCCCGCUGGGGUUACCCCCUUCCCCACGGAGCCUUCAGCGGCAUCUCCGAUUUCUCCUGCACCCUAACUGACUUAGUGUGUAUGUGCGUGACUCUGAUUCAUGUCUGGCUCAUGCCCAAGAUGUAAACUCUAUGAGGACGUCAGGAAUGCUACUUCCUCCCUCUGCUUGCCCAGCGUUCCACACGACCCCUGGCAGCGAAGCGCACAAAGGAGUGGCCGUGGUGAAUGAAUGAACCCGUCCGUGCCAGCGCCGCCUUAGUACCAGCACCUGACACAGCAGGUGCGAGUGAGCCCUUGUGGAGACGUGAAGACGUGAGCGCAUGCGCGGCCGCCCGGGAUCCGCCUCCUGCAUCCCUGCCGGGAGCUGGGUCCCGAUGUAGUGCGAGGAAUAGUUGUAGGUGACUCUAGGUUCGGAGUGAAGGCCCCUCUCCAGGAGUUGGGCCGGGCUGGGCUGGAGUCCCUCCCUCCCCUCCUCCCGCCCCGCCCCCACAUGCACACACCAAAACAUUAAAAAAAACAUCUCAAAAACUGCAAAAAACACCAUGGCCCUCCCCCUCCCCCUGAAUCCCACCAAAAAAAUAAAACACGUCGCUCGCCAGGGCCCCUCCCCUUCUUCCUCCUCUCCCCGGGGUCCCUGCUUCGGAGGGGGAAGGAAGGGACGGCCCCGCGCCCCGGGCCGGGGGCGCGCGAGGGGCGAAG